UAAGUGGUGGAAAUUAAACCAAAUGGGAUAUCUUUAGUAAUUGCGAAUGAACAAGGAUAUGCCUAGCUUGACAAAUGGAGCUAUUGGCUUUGAAUUGUAUUGUGGAAAUGUAUUACCAACAGAGGUGCAGGUGCCAGCCUAUUGAAAUAAAGCGUCAAUGAGGGUGAGAAUCCUGUUUGUCAUGUGCAGCCCUUUGUGCACGGUGUAUAUUUGCUGAGUCACACUCCUUGGCAUUGGAAUGCAAAGUGGGUGGUAAGUUUCAUGUAAAGGUAAACAUGCAAUUGAGACUGAUAGCACACAAGUACCAUGAGGGAAAUAUGAAAAGGACUUUGAAAAGAGAAUUAAAUGAGUUUGUAUUUGCUGAACACAAAGUAAACAGACUUGAUUUGCUUGGUGGGAGUGUUGCACUUGCUUGACAAGAGCUUUGGGCUGUGGGUGUAAUGAUUCUUUCUUUGCAUGCCAGUUUCUAUUUGUACAUCUGAUUACCUUUGCACAUGAAUGAUAAGUCUCCUGUGGGGGGUGGAUUGCAUGUGCAUGUAAUGAUUUGUGUUUUGAUAAAUGUGUCUGGUGUAUGUGGUGUGUUCCUGUGCUUGGGGAUGCUUCCUUCCUUGGACUUACAAGCCCUGACACACACAUGCUGGCAAAAUGCUUCUGCUUGACCCG
rnacentral:rRNA from 1 species